rnacentral:rRNA from 1 species
CCCGUUAGCGAUGACAUUAGCUGCAGAAUAAGCACCGGCUAACUCUGUGCCAGCAGCCGCGGUAAUACAGAGGGUGCAAGCGUUAAUCGGAAUUACUGGGCGUAAAGCGAGCGUAGGUGGCUUGAUAAGUCAGAUGUGAAAUCCCCGGGCUUAACCUGGGAACUGCAUCUGAUACUGUUAAGCUAGAGUAGGUGAGAGGGAAGUAGAAUUCCAGGUGUAGCGGUGAAAUGCGUAGAGAUUUGGAGGAAUACCGAUGGCGAAGGCAGGCUCCUGGCAUCAUACUGACACUGAGGCUCGAAAGCGUGGGUAGCAAACAGGAUUAGAUACCCUGGUAGUCCACGCCGUAAACGAUGUNUACUAGUCGUUGGGUCCCUUGAGGACUUAGUGACGCAGCUAACGCAAUAAGUAGACCGCCUGGGGAGUACGGCCGCAAGGUUAAAACUCAAAUGAAUUGACGGGGGCCCGCACAAGCGGUGGAGCAUGUGGUUCAAUUCGAUGCAACGCGAAGAACCUUACCUGGUCUUGACAUACACAGAAUCUUGUAGAGAUACGAGAGUGCCUUCGGGAAUUGUGAUACAGGUGCUGCAUGGCUGUCG